UACGAAGGGGGCUAGCGUUGCUCGGAAUCACUGGGCGUAAAGGGCGCGUAGGCGGGCACGCAAGUCAGGGGUGAAAUCCUCCGGCUCAACCGGAGAACGGCUUUUGAUACUGCGUGCCUCGAGGGGGGUAGGGGCAUGUGGAACUUCCGGUGGAGCGGUGAAAUGCGUAGAUAUGACAUAGAACACCAAUUGCGAAGGCAGCUGGCUACACAAAUAUUGACACUGAGGCACGAAAGCGUGGGGAUCAAACAGG
rnacentral:rRNA from 1 species